rnacentral:rRNA from 1 species
UACGGGAGGCAGCAGUGGGGAAUAUUGCACAAUGGGCGCAAGCCUGAUGCAGCCAUGCCGCGUGUAUGAAGAAGGCCUUCGGGUUGUAAAGUACUUUCAGCGGGGAGGAAGGCGAUGUGGUUAAUAACCGCGUCGAUUGACGUUACCCGCAGAAGAAGCACCGGCUAACUCCGUGCCAGCAGCCGCGGUAAUACGGAGGGUGCAAGCGUUAAUCGGAAUUACUGGGCGUAAAGCGCACGCAGGCGGUCUGUUAAGUCAGAUGUGAAAUCCCCGGGCUUAACCUGGGAACUGCAUUUUGAAACUGGCAGGCUUGAGUCUCGUAGAGGGGGUAGAAUUCCAGGUGUAGCGGUGAAAUGCGUAGAGAUCUGGAGGAAUACCGGUGGCGAAGGCGGCCCCUGGGACGAGACUGACGCUCAGGUGCGAAAGCGUGGGGAGCAAACGAGGAUUAGGAUACC